rnacentral:ribozyme from 1 species
AAGAAAAAGCAACGUUCCAAACAGAGAAGAAAAAGCGUGCGAAAAAUAAAGACAAUUUCAAUUGUGACAAGACAUAAAACUGAGGAGUUCAGUGUAUCUCUUAAAGUUUUUUUUCCCCUUCUUCUUUCUACUACUG